rnacentral:tRNA from 1 species
GUUGUGGCUCAGUGGUAGAGUGCUUCCUAGCAUGUGUGAGGUCCUGGGUUCGAUCCUCAGCACCGCA